rnacentral:rRNA from 1 species
GACGAACGCUGGCGGCGUGCUUAACACAUGCCAGUCGAACGGGCCUUGUCCCCUUUUUUUUGGGGGUGGGGUUAGUGGCGAACGGGUGAGUAACACGUGAGUAACCUGCCCCUCACUUCUGGAUAACCGCUUGAAAGGGUGGCUAAUACGGGGUGUUCUGGCCUGCUCGCAUGGGUGGGUUUGGAAAGAUUCGACCGGUUUUGGUUGUUUUGGUGGGGGAUGGGCUCGCGGCCUAUCAGCUUGUUGGUGGGGUGAUGGCCUGCCAAGGCUUUGACGGGUAGCCGGCCUGAGAGGGUGGGCGGUCACACUGGGACUGAGACACGGCCCAGACUCCUACGGGAGGCAGCAGUGGGGAAUAUUGCACAAUGGGCGCAAGCCUGAUGCAGCGACGCCGCGUGAGGGAUGGAGGCCUUCGGGUUGUGAACCUCUUUCGCCAGUGAAGAAGGUCCUGCUCUUUGUGGUGGGGUUGACGGUAGCGGGGUUAAUGAAGCGCCGGCUAACUACGUG